CCCUUUAGACAUGUGCUAGCAGUUGGGUUAUCCUCCUGUCUGUCGUGUGCUGGCUGUUGGCCAGUUUUCAGAUAUGGGCCUGCAAGUAGCUGUAAUCCUGCGUGG